GAUGAACGCUAGCUACAGGCUUAACACAUGCAAGUCGCGGGGCAGCAUGGGGGUUGCUUGCAAUCCCCGAUGGCGACCGGCGCACGGGUGAGUAACGCGUAUCCAACCUGCCCUUCACCACGGGAUAACCCGGCGAAAGUCGGACUAAUACCGUAUGUUGUCCAUUGACGGCCUCCGAUUUGGACGAAAGGUUUGGCGGUGAAGGAUGGGGAUGCGUCCGAUUAGCUGGACGGCGGGGUGACGGCCCACCGUGGCGACGAUCGGUAGGGGUUCUGAGAGGAAGGUCCCCCACACUGGAACUGAGACACGGUCCAGACUCCUACGGGAGGCAGCAGUGAGGAAUAGUGGUCAAUGGGCGUAAGCCUGAACCAGCCAAGAAGCGUGCAGGAUGACGGCCCUAUGGGUUGUAAACUGCUUUUAUGCGGGGAUAAAGUGGCCCACGUGUGGGUUUUUGCAGGUACCGCAUGAAUAAGGACCGGCUAAUUCCGUG
rnacentral:rRNA from 1 species